AGUGAACGCUGGCGGUAGGCCUAGCACAUGCCAGUCGAACGGCAGCACAGUAAGAACUUGCUCUUACGGGUGGCGAGUGGCGGACGGGUGAGGAAUACAUCGGAAUCUACUUUUUCGUGGGGGAUAACGUAGGGAAACUUACGCUAAUACCGCAUACGACCUACGGGUGAAAGCAGGGGAUCUUCGGACCUUGCGCGAUUGAAUGAGCCGAUGUCGGAUUAGCUAGUUGGCGGGGUAAAGGCCCACCAAGGCGACGAUCCGUAGCUGGUCUGAGAGGAUGAUCAGCCACACUGGAACUGAGACACGGUCCAGACUCCUACGGGAGGCAGCAGUGGGGAAUAUUGGACAAUGGGCGCAAGCCUGAUCCAGCCAUACCGCGUGGGUGAAGAAGGCCUUCGGGUUGUAAAGCCCUUUUGUUGGGAAAGAAAAGCAGCAGGUUAAUACCCCGCUGUUCUGACGGUACCCAAAGAAUAAGCACCGGCUAACUUCGUG
rnacentral:rRNA from 1 species